CCUACGGGCGGCAGCAGUGGGGGAUAUUGCACAAUGGGGGAAACCCUGAUGCAGCGACGCCGCGUGGGUGAAGAAGUAUUUCGGUAUGUAAAGCCCUAUCAGCAGGGAAGAAAGAAGACGGUACCUGACUAAGAAGCCCCGGCUAACUACGUGCCAGCAGCCGCGGUAAUACGUAGGGGGCGAGCGUUAUCCGGAUUCACUGGGUGUAAAGGGAGCGUAGACGGCCGUGCAAGCCAGGAGUGAAAGCCCGGGGCCCAACCCCGGGACUGCUCUUGGAACUGUGCGGCUGGAGUGCGGGAGGGGCAGGCGGAAUUCAUGGUGUAGCGGUGAAAUGCGUAGAUAUCAGGAGGAACACCGGCGGCGAAGGCGGCCUGCUGGACCGCGACUGACGUUGAGGCUCGAAAGCGUGGGGAGCGAACAGGAUUAGAUACCCCUGUAGUC
rnacentral:rRNA from 1 species